UGCUGGGUUAGCUUCCUUUUCUGUUGUUAUUUGGCAGCGAUUCGGCAUCAAGACGUUGGGUCUCAGUGGGCCGUCGCCUGGUGGAUGCAGCAGCGCCACCCAAGAGAGCUGGGAGAAAAGGAUCUGGUGGGGAAGGCAGUUCUCAGGUACGCGGAAGCAGUGGCCAGUCCAUCAGAGUUGUUUUUUUAGAAGUAUUGCUUCAAUGCUGGUGGUGUCAGCAUGGAGGACACUUGCACUUGAUCCCCUGGAUUUGAUGGAGGCAGUGCUGUUGGAAACGCUCAAGCGCAAUGACAUGGCACCAAUACAUAGACAACAUACCGGCAAGACUUAAAAUCCUAGCAUACCAUCUUUAAAACUAUCACAUCUACACAAACACCGA